rnacentral:rRNA from 1 species
AAGUGAGCUUUGAUCCGGAGAUUUCCGAAUGGGGGAACCCACUACGUUUAAUCGCGUAGUAUCUUGACGUGAAUACAUAGCGUCUUGAAGGCAGACCCAGGGAACUGAAACAUCUAAGUACCUGGAGGAAGAGAAAGAAAAAUCGAUUCCCUGAGUAGCGGCGAGCGAAACGGGAAGAGCCCAAACCAAGAGGCUUGCCUCUUGGGGUUGUAGGACACUCUAUACGGAGUUACAAAGGAAUGAGUUAGAUGAAGCGACUUGGAAAGGUCCGCCAGAGCAGGUAAAAGCCCUGUAGUCGAAAGUUUAUUCCCUCCAGAGUGGAUCCUGAGUACGGCGGAACACGUGAAAUUCCGUCGGAAUCCGGGAGGACCAUCUCCCAAGGCUAAAUACUACCUAGUGACCGAUAGUGAACCAGUACCGUGAGGGAAAGGUGAAAAGCACCCCGGAAGGGGAGUGAAAGAGAUCCUGAAACCGUGUGCCUACAAGUAGUUAGAGCCCGUUAAUGGGUGAUAGCGUGCCUUUUGUAGAAUGAACCGGCGAGUUACGAUUACGUGCGAGGUUAAGCUUUAGAAGGCGGAGCCGCAGCGAAAGCGAGUCUGAAUAGGGCGAAUUAGUACGUGGUCGUAGACCCGAAACCAGGUGAUCUACCCAUGUCCAGGGUGAAGGUGAGGUAACACUUACUGGAGGCCCGAACCCACGCACGUUGAAAAGUGCGGGGAUGAGGUGUGGGUAGCGGAGAAAUUCCAAUCGAACUUGGAGAUAGCUGGUUCUCUCCGAAAUAGCUUUAGGGCUAGCCUCGUGAUGAGAAUACUGGAGGUAGAGCACUGUUUGGACUAGGGGGCCAUCCCGGUUUACCGAAUUCAGACAAACUCCGAAUGCCAGAUAUUUAUACACGGGAGUCAGACUGCGAGUGAUAAGAUCCGUAGUCAAAAGGGAAACAGCCCAGACCACCAGCUAAGGUCCCAAAGUAAUCGUUAAGUGGAAAAGGAUGUGGCGUUGCACAGACAACCAGGAUGUUGGCUUAGAAGCAGCCAUCAUUUAAAGAGUGCGUAAUAGCUCACUGGUCGAGUGACGCUGCGCCGAAAAUGUAUCGGGGCUAAACGAUUCACCGAAGCUGUGGAUUGACAUCUACGAUGUCAGUGGUAGGAGAGCGUUCUAAGUGCGUUGAAGUCAGACCGGAAGGACUGGUGGAGCGCUUAGAAGUGAGAAUGCCGGUAUGAGUAGCGAAAGACGGGUGAGAAUCCCGUCCACCGUAUGACUAAGGUUUCCUGAGGAAGGCUCGUCCGCUCAGGGUUAGUCGGGACCUAAGCCGAGGCCGAUAGGCGUAGGCGAUGGACAACAGGUUGAUAUUCCUGUACCACCUCCUCACCGUUUGAGAAAUGGGGGGACGCAGUAGGAUAGGGUAAGCGCGCCGUUGGUUGUGCGCGUCCAAGCAGUAAGGCGUGUGUGUAGGCAAAUCCGCACACUGUAACGUUGAGCUGUGAUGGCGAGUCCGUAUGGACGAAGUUCCUGAUUUCACACUGCCAAGAAAAGCCUCUAUCGAGGUGAGAGGUGCCCGUACCGCAAACCGACACAGGUAGUCGAGGAGAGAAUCCUAAGGUGUGCGAGAGAACUCUCGUUAAGGAACUCGGCAAAAUGACCCCGUAACUUCGGGAGAAGGGGUGCUCUUGAGCGUGCAAGCGCACGAGAGCCGCAGUGAAUAGGCCCAGGCGACUGUUUAGCAAAAACACAGGUCUCUGCAAAACCGUAAGGUGACGUAUAGGGGCUGACGCCUGCCCGGUGCUGGAAGGUUAAGAGGAGUGGUUAGCGCAAGCGAAGCUGCGAAUUGAAG